rnacentral:pre_miRNA from 1 species
GAAAAGAUAAAUCAUGGAUUUCCGUGUCCAACGUUUAACUAUCCGUCUUAUAUGAUUUUUUUUAUAAUUAGUAUUUUCAUUGUUGUUAGAUGAUAAAACAUGAUUAAUACUUUAUGCGUGACUUGUCUUUUUAAUUUUUUUCAUAUUUUUUUAAAUAAGACGGACGGUCAAACGUUGUGCACGAAAACUCAUGGUUUAUCUUUUU